rnacentral:rRNA from 1 species
AGAUUGAACGCUGGCGGCAUGCCUUACACAUGCAAGUCGAACGGUAGAGUAGCUAUACUUGAGAGUGGCGAACGGGUGAGUAAUAUAUCGGAACGUGCCCAGUCGUGGGGGAUAACGUAGAGAAAUUUACGCUAAUACCGCAUACGAUCUAAGGAUGAAAGCGGGGGACCGUAAGGCCUCGCGCGAUUGGAGCGGCUGAUAUCAGAUUAGGUUGUUGGUG